rnacentral:rRNA from 1 species
UACGGAGGGUGCAAACGUUGCUCGGAAUCAUUGGGCGUAAAGCGCACGUAGGCGGUCCAGCAAGUCGGGUGUGAAAGCCCUCGGCUUAACCGAGGAAGUGCAUUCGAAACUACUGGGCUUGAGUACUGAAGAGGAUCGCGGAAUUCCCGGUGUAGAGGUGAAAUGCGUAGAUAUCUGGAGGAACACCGGUGGCGAAGGCGGCAUCCUGGACCGACACUGACGCUGAGGAGCGAAAGCCAGGGGAGCAAACGGG